AUUGAACGCUGGCGGCAGGCCUAACACAUGCAAGUCGAGCGGAUGAAGGGAGCUUGCUCCUGGAUUCAGCGGCGGACGGGUGAGUAAUGCCUAGGAAUCUGCCUGGUAGUGGGGGAUAACGUCCUGAAACGGGCGCUAAUACCGCAUACGUCCUGAGGGAGAAAGUGGGGGAUCUUCGGACCUCACGCUAUCAGAUGAGCCUAGGUCGGAUUAGCUAGUUGGUGGGGUAAAGGCCUACCAAGGCGACGAUCCGUAACUGGCCUGAGAGGAUGAUCAGUCACACUGGAACUGAGACACGGUCCAGACUACUACGGGAGGCAGCAGUGGGGAAUAUUGGACAAUGGGCGAAAGCCUGAUCCAGCCAUGCCGCGUGUGUGAAGAAGGUCUUCGGAUUGUAAAGCACUUUAAGUUGGGAGGAAGGGCAGUAAGUUAAUACCUUGCUGUUUUGACGUUACCAACAGAAUAAGCACCGGCUAACUUCGUG
rnacentral:rRNA from 1 species